rnacentral:lncRNA from 1 species
AUGAUUGCCCCAGGGCCACAGUUCCAUCGGAGUCUCGCUGGCUGGGCUGGGCCAGGCUCAACUGAUGCUGUGCUGACAUUGGAUGCUCCCAGCGUGGACCGGGCUUCAAGGCCUGAGGCCCUAGUGGCAGGAAGAAGACUGAAUCACUGCCAAGGAGGCGGGCUGGGAAAGUGGGCUGAGAGGUCUCUGGAAAGAUCCACUGAAAUAAAUGAAUGGGAAAGGAAUAGAUGUUUAAGGAGCUUGUACUCUGCCAAGCUGGGUGCUGUCACAGUUCACUGGGUCAUCAUAGCAACUGUCUGUGCUCUCAGCGGAAACAAUGCCCUGUUGCAAAGUGGUUGCCCCACAAUUUUUUUUUUCUGGAUAAAAGCAAAGUAAAACCAAACGAAAACCCUAAAAACAAAACCAAAAAAUCCAAACCUAAACCCCAAACCAGAAAAACAAAAACAAAAAACAAAAAAACAAAAAAAAAAACUGAAAAACCCAACACUGUUCUUUAGCUGGAUAGUAGUAUUGUCCUUCCUUUUCAAAUCAGGACACAGACCUACUUGAAUAGCAAGAGAGUUCUGUUCGUACUUUGUAAACUGCAAAAAUGCUCUUCAAAUGUUAGCUUCCAUUAUGGUAUCCAUGAAUAAGCCCAUUUCCUUAUAGCCCUCGCUUCUGGAAGUGGCUGGAGCAUUGUAGCAAUUCAAUACCUGUUUGUUGAUUAAAUGACUCGUUGACCAUUGGGCAGGAGGGUCUGAUGGUACCUUAAUGGGAUUGCUAUCUCACAGGAAGAGAGAUGAGAAUUUACACACAUAUAUACAACCCACUGUGUAUGGCGAGUUUCCAAUACUGUGUAAGGAAGUUGAAGUUAGCUAUUUAUUAAAAGAGGCAACGUGAACAUUUUCAGAAUUAUUUUCCCCUUGGAAAUCUUAACUUUGGCUUAGACCCCUUGAAAACUCCAUUAGGGCUCAAAAUGUACCAGUAUUUUUAUUGGGUAACAAUAUAAUCUGAAAGAGUGAAAUAUUUUGUGUUUGACAGAGCAGAUGGCGGUUCUAUUUCAUAUUAAUAGUCGAAUCUAAUGUGGAUAGUAGUUUUUGUUGCCUAUAUGUUUAUUAACGUUUGAGUGCGAUUUGAACUUGAUCGCAUGUUUUAUUGCUUCCUCCAACAGUAACUACUCUUUCAUUUUAAAUACAUUUACGAUAUUACACAUAUAUUUCGAGGCAUAAUAAAAGUAAAUUUAUAUGAAAAAAUUCCA